rnacentral:tRNA from 1 species
AUUCUCCUAGUUUAACAGGAAAAACAUUACUCUUUCAAAGUAAAAUUAGCGUUCAAGUCCGCUGGAGAGUA